CUGGCAAGAUGCAGGAAAUAAUGACAUAACUGAUGAAAACGGAGGAGGAGGAACUAAAACCAGACAAGGGUGAUGUUUUCACAUCUGCACAGUAAGGAAACACUUGAGGCUGCAACAUGAUGACGAAUCUCCUUGCAGCCAUAUGGACCCUGACGUCUUUGAUUCUGUCGGGCGCUCUUGCUGCUGACUGGACAGUGCGUGUUCCUAUGGAUCCAGUCUAUGCUCCUCCUGGUUCUUCUGUAGUUUUGGAGUGCACCUAUGACUACCCUGAGGAGUCCGACCAGGGAAUACUGCGCAAAGUGCUGACAGAGAUGUGGUGUCUGAAUGAAAGCCGCUGCAUUACACCCAGAUACGUGUACCACAGUGCAGGGAUAUUUCCUGAGCCCUCAUACCAGGGCCGAGUCAAGUACUUGGGGCAGACAGGGAGCAAAAACUGCUCUCUGAUGAUAUCUGAUCUGAGGUCAGAAGACAGCGGCGUGUACGUGUUCCGGUUCAUCACCAACAAUCUGAAGGCCAAGCUACCAGGACAGAGAGGAGUGAAUCUACAGGUCACACAUCAGAUAGAAACAAGAAGUGCAUCUUCAUCCACUACUGGCAUUGUGCUUGGAGUUAUUAUCAUGGUUAUCAUAAUAGCAGGCAUUGUGGUACUCAUCAGACGCAAGUCACGGU
rnacentral:lncRNA from 1 species